rnacentral:rRNA from 1 species
UACGAAGGGGGCUAGCGUUGUUCGGAAUUACUGGGCGUAAAGCGCGCGCAGGCGGUCUUCCAAGUCAGUGGUGAAAGCCCGGAGCUCAACUCCGGAACUGCCAUUGAAACUGUAAGACUUGAGGACGAGAGAGGUGAGUGGAAUUCCCAGUGUAGAGGUGAAAUUCGUAGAUAUUGGGAAGAACACUAGUGGCGAAGGCGGCUCACUGGCUCGUAUCUGACGCUCAGGCGCGACAGCGUGGGGAUCAAACAGG